UCCGAAUUGGUGUAGUGGCUAACAUUUGACGCUCUCAUCCUGUAUGAUCCGUCAAGCCCGGGGUUCGAUUCCCCGAUUCGGAG
rnacentral:tRNA from 1 species